rnacentral:rRNA from 1 species
AACGCUAGCUACAGGCUUAACACAUGCAAGUCGAGGGGUAGCAGGGUAGCAAUACCGCUGACGACCGGCGCACGGGUGAGUAACACGUAUCCAACCUACCAUUCACACGGGGAUAGCCUUUCGAAAGAAAGAUUAAUACCCGAUAGUAUAACGAUAAGGCAUCUUAUUGUUAUUAAAGAAUUUCGGUGUUUGAUGGGGAUGCGUUCCAUUAGAUUGUUGGUGAGGUAACGGCUCACCAAGUCUUCGAUGGAUAGGGGUUCUGAGAGGAAGGUCCCCCACAUUGGAACUGAGACACGGUCCAAACUCCUACGGGAGGCAGCAGUGAGGAAUAUUGGUCAAUGGACGAGAGUCUGAACCAGCCAAGUAGCGUGAAGGAUGAAGGCCCUAUGGGUCGUAAACUUCUUUUAUAGGGGAAUAAAGUGCGGAACGUGUUCCGCUUUGUAUGUACCCUACGAAUAAGGAUCGGCUAACUCCGUGCCAGCAGCCGCGGUAAUACGGAGGAUCCGAGCGUUAUCCGGAUUUAUUGGGUUUAAAGGGAGCGUAGGUGGAUAUAUAAGUCAGUUGUGAAAGUUUGCGGCUCAACCGUAAAAUUGCAGUUGAUACUGUAUAUCUUGAGUGUACAAGAGGUGGGCGGAAUUCGUGGUGUAGCGGUGAAAUGCUUAGAUAUCACGAAGAACUCCGAUUG